GGAGACUGCCAUCGAUGGGACUCCAGCGCCCCCUGCAGCAUCCUCCACCGGACUUUUUCAUGAAGUUAAAAAAAAAAGAAACGAUCAUCAAACAUUUUACCCAGAAUAAGCUAAAACGAUGCCAAAUGGACGUCCACCUUCAGUCUGACGGAGACCGAGGUCAAAGACACAAACUGGGACCCCGACAGAGCGGUUCUUGAUUGUAAAGUUUUAUUCAGAGUUUAUGUGAACAAAGAGAAAUGAUUGAGGAGAGCGUACUGACCCUGUGGGAAUCUUCAGGGGGUUUUUUAAAUUCCAUUCUGGGGACAAAAAACAAGAAGCUGCAAACAUCCGCAGAGCCGAGGUCGUCGGUUUGUUUGCAGCGAAGCAGCGACACUGCCAGAAGGUCAGCCGGAGGUCAAACCACGUCCCGCUGUUUACAGAGCAACAGACGGGAUAUGUGGACUUACUUUGUGACAUCUUUGUUGAGGAACUUUGUCCUGAAAAUGUUAUUGUUAAACCAAUAAAAGCUUUUGAUUCCAAACACAAA